UACGUAGGGUGCAAGCGUUAAUCGGAAUUACUGGGCGUAAAGCGUGCGCAGGCGGUUAUGUAAGACAGUUGUGAAAUCCCCGGGCUCAACCUGGGAACUGCAUCUGUGACUGCAUAGCUAGAGUACGGUAGAGGGGGAUGGAAUUCCGCGUGUAGCAGUGAAAUGCGUAGAUAUGCGGAGGAACACCGAUGGCGAAGGCAAUCCCUCGGACCUGUACUGACGCUCAUGCACGAAAGCGUGGGGAGCAAACGAGG
rnacentral:rRNA from 1 species